UCUCACACUUCAAUAGGCAUUGUCUGGGGUCUUAUUCAAAUGCAGAUCCUGACUUCACUGGUGCAGUAAGAAGUCAGAGAAUCUGCAUCUGUAACAAGCUCCCAGGUGAUGAUGGUGCUGCUGGUGUGCAGA
ensembl:miRNA MIR7853 microRNA 7853